rnacentral:tRNA from 1 species
GGGGGUAUAGCUCAGUGGUAGAGUGCAUGCCUAGCAUGCAGGAGGUCCUGGGUUCAAUCUCCAGUACCUCCA